rnacentral:rRNA from 1 species
AGAGUUUGAUCAUGGCUCAGGAUGAACGCUAGCGGCAGGCCUAAUACAUGCAAGUCGAGCGGCAGCACGGUAGCAAUACUGGUGGCGAGCGGCGCACGGGUGCGUAACACGUAUGCAACCUACCCUUUACUGUGGCAUAUCCUCUGGAAACGGAGUGUAAUUCCACAUGUGCUGAUGAUGAGGCAUCUCAUUAUCAGGAAAGGAUUUAUUCGGUAAAGGAUGGGCAUGCGUUUGAUUAGCUAGUUGGCGAGGUAACGGCUCACCAAGGCUACGAUCAAUAGCUGGUCUGAGAGGAUGAUCAGCCACACUGGCACUGAGAUACGGGCCAGACUCCUACGGGAGGCAGCAGUAGGGAAUAUUGGACAAUGGGGGAAACCCUGAUCCAGCCAUGCCGCGUGCAGGAAGAAGGCCCUCUGGGUUGUAAACUGCUUUUCUCUGGGGAUAAACCUCUGCUAUAUGCGGAGCUGAAGGUACCAGGGGAAUAAGCACCGGCUAACUCCGUGCCAGCAGCCGCGGUAAUACGGAGGGUGCAAGCGUUGUCCGGAUUCAUUGGGUUUAAAGGGUGCGUAGGCGGUCUUGUAAGUCAGUGGUGAAAUCUCAGAGCUCGACUCUGAAUGUGCCAAUGAUACUGCAGGACUUGAGAGCAGUCGAGGUAGCUGGAAUGUGUAGUGUAGCGGUGAAAUGCAUAGAGAUUACACAGAACACCAAUUGCGAAGGCAAGUUACUAGGCUGUUUCAGACGCUGAUGCACGAAAGUGUGGGUAGCGAACAGGAUUAGAUACCCUGGUAGUCCACACCGUAAACGAUGAUUACUAGAUGUUCGGAGUUUACUCUGAGUGUCCAAGCGAAAGCGAUAAGUAAUCCACCUGGGGAGUACGACCGCAAGGUUGAAACUCAGAGGAAUUGACGGGGGCCCGCACAAGCGGUGGAGCAUGUGGUUUAAUUCGAUGGUACGCGAGGAACCUUACCUGGGCUAGAAUGCGCGUGCCGAUUCCGGAAACGGAAUCUCCCCGCAAGGGGCACAAAGCAAGGUGCUGCAUGGCUGUCGUCAGCUCGUGCCGUGAGGUGUUGGGUUAAGUCCCGCAACGAGCGCAACCCCUAUUCUUAGUUGCCAUUCCAGCAAUGGAGGGACUCUAGGGAGACUGCCUGCGCAAGCAGUGAGGAAGGUGGGGACGACGUCAAGUCAUCAUGGCCCUUACGCCCAGGGCGACACGCGUGCUACAAUGGACGGUACAGAGGGUUGCAAGCCUACGAAGGCGAGCUAAUCUCAAAAAGCCGUUCUCAGUUCGGAUUGGAGUCUGCAACUCGACUCCAUGAAGCUGGAAUCGCUAGUAAUCGCGCAUCAGCCAUGGCGCGGUGAAUACGUUCCCGGGCCUUGUACACACCGCCCGUCAAGCCAUGGGAGUUGGGGGUACCUGAUGGCGGCAGUAAUGCCGUUUAGGGUAAAACCAAUGACUGGGGCUAAGUCGUAACAAGGUAGCCGUACUAGUACG